rnacentral:rRNA from 1 species
UCACUGAGAUUGCCUUAGUAAUGGCGAAUGAACCGGCAAAAGCUCAUUGCUGAAGCGUGUUAAAUUCAUUUUUGACAUGCAUUGUAGCAUUUGGGGUAACUAUUGUAUGGUGCCUGUUCGUGUGAGUUCCUUUGAUCAGGGCUUUAACCAUAGAAGGUGCUAGUCCUAUAAUCACGAAUAGUUUUGUGCUGUACAUUGUAUACCUUUCGAGUAGCGUAGUUUGAGAUUGCUACGCCAACGUGGGACGUAAACUUGUUCCAAAGCUAAAUAUUAUAACGAGACCGAUAGCGAACAAGUACCGUGAGGGAAAGUUGAAAAGCACUCUGAAGAGAGAGUUAAAUAGUACGUAAAACCGUACAGAAGAAAACGAAUGGCCGCAUUCAUCAGAUUACUUUGAAUUCAAUUUGAUCUCUAUAUGAUGGUGAUACAUGUUGAUUUGGAACUUCAACAGUCCAUUGAUGUGUUAUUGCCUAGAGUCGAAUGCAUUUUCAGAGUAUUAACUGAACCUGGAUCUAUAACAUUGAAAGCUAGUCGAAUCAGUCUAUUUUGGUAGCGAGUAUUACUCGUGUUAAAAAUAUGACUUGCAUAAAUAACAAAUUCGACUUGGCGUUAUAGGUAAACAGACAUGUUCUUUGAUUUCAGUACUUUCGAGUACGGCAUGCUAUGAGCAUUGUUGGUGUCACAUGAGUAACUAAUACCUAAACAGUAUUAGUUUUAUUCAUUGUUGAUGUCUAAUGUUUUGUGGCUGUCAAUGAAAUCGGCAAGUCUACAGGAGUUUUGAAUGCCGAGUUAUUCGACCCGUCUUGAAACACGGUCUAAGGAGUUCACUGCAUGUGCAAGAGUUCGGCUGUAUGAAAAGCCUUGCUCGUAAUGAAAGUAAAGAACAUUCUUGCAAUGUUUUAAGUGUGAUUUCUGUCAUCUGGUGCAAAUCAUGACAAUGAACGCAACACUGACAGGUUCUAUUGCCGUUGGCAAAGAGCUUAGUAAGAGUAUAUGCAAUGAGACCCGAAAGAUGGUGAACUUAAUGUGUGUAGAAUGAAGCCAGGGGAAACCCUGGCGGAAGUU